rnacentral:rRNA from 1 species
UACAGAGGGUGCAAGCGUUGUUCGGAAUUAUUGGGCGUAAAGAGCUCGUAGGCGGUUUGUCGCGUCUGCUGUGAAAACGCGAGGCUCAACCUCGCGCCUGCAGUGGGUACGGGCAGACUAGAGUGCGGUAGGGGAGAUUGGAAUUCCUGGUGUAGCGGUGGAAUGCGCAGAUAUCAGGAGGAACACCGAUGGCGAAGGCAGAUCUCUGGGCCGUUACUGACGCUGAGGAGCGAAAGCGUGGGGAGCGAACAGG